rnacentral:rRNA from 1 species
AGAGUUUGAUCAUGGCUCAGAUUGAACGCUGGCGGCAUGCCUUACACAUGCAAGUCGAACGGCAGCACGGGGGCAACCCUGGUGGCGAGUGGCGAACGGGUGAGUAAUACAUCGGAACGUGUCCUGUCGUGGGGGAUAACCAGUCGAAAGACUGGCUAAUACCGCAUGAGAUCGAGAGAUGAAAGCAGGGGACCGCAAGGCCUUGCGCGAUUGGAGCGGCCGAUGUCGGAUUAGCUAGUUGGCGGGGUAAAAGCCCACCAAGGCUACGAUCCGUAGCUGGUUUGAGAGAACGACCAGCCACACUGGGACUGAGACACGGCCCAGACUCCUACGGGAGGCAGCAGUGGGGAAUUUUGGACAAUGGGGGCAACCCUGAUCCAGCCAUGCCGCGUGUGUGAAGAAGGCCUUCGGGUUGUAAAGCACUUUCGGACGGAACGAAAUCGCGCGGGUGAAUAUCCCGCGUGGAUGACGGUACUGUAAGAAGAAGCACCGGCUAACUACGUGCCAGCAGCCGCGGUAAUACGUAGGGUGCGAGCGUUAAUCGGAAUUACUGGGCGUAAAGCGUGCGCAGGCGGCUUCGCAAGUCAGACGUGAAAUCCCCGGGCUUAACCUGGGAAUGGCGUUUGAAACUACGGAGCUGGAGUGUGGCAGAGGGAGGUAGAAUUCCACGUAGCGGUGAAAUGCGUAGAUAUGUGGAGGAAUACCGAUGGCGAAGGCAGCCUCCUGGGCCAACACUGACGCUCAUGCACGAAAGCGUGGGGAGCAAACAGGAUUAGAUACCCUAGUAGUCC